rnacentral:rRNA from 1 species
UGGGGAAUUUUGGACAAUGGGGGCAACCCUGAUCCAGCGACGCCGCGUGGAGGACGAAGGUCUUCGGAUUGUAAACUCCUUUUGGAGGGGAAGAAUGCCUGCGUGAAUAACGCAGGUUGACGGUACUCUUUGAAUAAGCCACGGCUAACUACGUGCCAGCAGCCGCGGUAAUACGUAGGUGGCAAGCGUUACUCGGAAUCACUAGGCGUAAAGCGCGGGUAGGCGGUUGGGUAAGUCGCUUGUGAAAGCUCCUGGCUUAACUGGGAGAGGUCAAGGGAAACUACCUGGCUAGAGUGCGGUAGAGGAAGCUGGAAUUCCUGGUGUAGCGGUGAAAUGCGUAGAUAUCAGGAGGAACACCUAUGGCGAAAGCAGGCUUCUGGACCGUCACUGACGCUGAUCCGCGAAAGCUAGGGGAGCAAAC